rnacentral:rRNA from 1 species
GCGACCCUAGGUCAGGCAGGGCUACCCGCUGAGUUUAAGCAUAUUAAUAAGCGGAGGAAAAGAAACUUAAAAGCAUUCCCCUGGUAACAGCGAGCGAGCUGGGAAGAGCCCAACUUUGAAAUCGGGCAGCCUCGCCAUCCGAAUUGUAGCCUGGACAAGUGUCCUUUGCGGCGGACCGGGCCUAAGGCCCCUGGAAAGGGGCGCCAAAGAGGGUGAGAACCUUGUCGUGCCCGUAUCCUGUCAUACCACGAGGCACUGUCACCGAGUUGAGUUGCUUAGGAAUGUAGCCCCAAGCGGGCAGUAAAUUCCGUCUAGGGCUAAAUAUGGGCGAGAGACCGAUAGCGAAUAAGUACCGUAAGGGAAUGAUGAAAAGAACUUUAAAAUAAGAGUCAAAGAGUGCUUCAAAUUGUCGGGAGGGAAACGGAUGGGGGCCGGCGAUGCGCCCCAGUCAGAUAUGGAACAGCCACAAGCCAGUCUGCCGAUCGGCUCGAGAAGUGGACCGACGCGAAUUGGGAGUGCGGCUAAAGCCCGGCCCCCGGGAGCAUCGUCUUCGCGAUUAUGGAAGGUAGCACGUGCAGUCACAGCAUGCCCCGACACCUGUGCACUCUAAUAGGCGGCCUACGGGCCCUCUAUUUGGCCUGUCUUGAAACACGGACCAACGAGUCUGACAUGUGUGCGAGUCAACGGGUGAGUAACCCGUACAGCGCAAGGAAGCUAAUUAGCUGGAUCUCCUCACGGGUGCACCGCCGACUGACCUUGAUCUUCUGAGAAGGGUUCAAGUGAGAACAUACCUAUCGGGACCCGAAAGAUGGUGAACUAUGCCUGAAGCCAGAGGAAGCUUUGGUGGAGUCCCGAAGCAAUACCGACGCGUAAAUUGUUCAUCUGACUUGGGUAUAGUGGCGAAAGACUAGUCGGACCGUCUAGUAGCCGGUUCCCUCCAAAGUUUCCCUCAAGAUAGCUGGAGCUCAUACGCGUGUUAUAUCACGUAAAGCCAAUGAUUAGAGGCAUCCAGGGUGCAAUGCCCUUGACCUAUUCUCAAACUUUAAAUAGGUAGGACAGCGUGACUGCUUUGUUGAGCUACACCAUGGAAUCGAGAGCUCCAAGCGGCCCAUUUUUAAUAAGCAGAACUGGCAAUACAGGAUGAACCGAAAGCCGAGUUAUGGUGCCUAACUUUGCGCUAACCUAGAUCCCAAAGGGUGGUGGUCGAUUAAGAUAGCAGGACAGUGGUGAUGGAAGUCGAAAUUUGCUAAGAAGUGUGUAACCACUCACUUGCUGAAUCAACUAACGCUUAAAAUACAUGGCACUAAAGCGCAUAACCUAUACCUGGCCAUUGAGGCAUGUGCUAAGCCCCAAUGAGUAGGAAGGCGUGGCAGUUGUUGUAAACCUGUAGCGCGAGCCAUGGCGGAGCGGCCGUCGGUACAGAUCUUGGUGGUAGUAGUAAAUAUUCAAAUGAGAACUUCGAAGGCCGAAGAGGGGAAAAGUUCCAUAUAAAUGGCACUUGCACAUGGGUUAGUUGAUCCUAAAAGACAGGGGAAGCUCGUCCAACCGCGCGUUUCGCACGAGCUAGAAAGAGAAUCGAAUUAAAAUUCCCGAACUAGGACGCGACGAUUGAUGGCAACGUUAGGGAGUCCGGAGACGUCGACGGGGGCCUCGGGAAGAGUUAUCUUUUCCGUUUAACAGCCUGCCCAUCCUGGAAACAACUCAAUCAGAGGUAGGGUCCAGUAGCUAGAAGAGCACCGCACGUCGCGUGGUGUCCGGUGCGCUCCUGACGGCGCUUGAAAAUCCGAAGGAUCGAGUGUCAACCAUGCCCGGUCGUACUCAUAAUCGUAUUAGGUCUCUAAGGUGAACAGCCUCUAGUCGAUGAAAUAAUGUAGGCAAGGGAAGUCGGCAAAAUGGAUUCAUAACUUCUGAAAAAGGAUUAGCUCUGAGAGCUGGGCAAAGGGGUCCCAAUCCCAAACUCAUCGACCGUCAGCGUACUGCUCGAGCUGCUCGCGUGGCGAGAGCGGGUCCCCGAGUUCUGACCGGGGGACGGACUGGGAACGGCCCCUUCGAGGGCCUUCCCCAGGCGUCGAACAGUCAACUCAGAAUUAGUGCGGACAAGGGGAAUCUGACUAUUUAAUUAAAACAAAGCAUUGCGGUGGUUCCUGCGGAUGUUAACGUAGUGUGAUUUCUGCCCAGUGCUCUGAAUGUCAAAGUGAAGAAAUUCAACUAAGCGUAGGUAAACGGUGGGAGUAACUAUGACUCUCGUAAGGUAGCCAAAUGCCUCGUCAUCUAAUUAGUGACGUGCAUGAAUGGAUUAAUGAGAUUCCCUCUGUUCCUAUCUACUAUCCAGCGAAACCACAACUGAGGGAACGAGCUUAGCAGAAUCAGCGAGGAAAGAAGACCCUGUUGAGCUUGACUCUAGUCUGACUUUGUGAAAUAACUUGAGAGGUGUAGUAUAAGUGGGAGCUUCAAUGCAAGUUAAAUACCACUACUUUUAACAUUAUUUUACUUACUUCAUGAGUCGGAGGUAGGGCAUUGCCCCUCUUUUUGGACCUAAGGCUCGCUUCGCGUGCGGAUCUGGGCAGAGGACAUUAUCAGCGCGGAGUUUGGCUGAGGCGGCAUAUCUUUUAAAAGAUAACACAGGUUUCCUAAGAUGAGCUCAACGAGAACAAAAAUCUCGCGUUGAAGAGAAGGGUAAAAGCUCGUUUGAUUUUGAUUUUCAGUACGAAUACGAAUCAUGAAAGCAUGGGCUAACGAUCCUUUAGACCUUCGGAAUUUAAAGAUAGAGGUGUUAGAAAACUUACCACAGGGAUAACUUGCUUCUGGAAGCUAAGCGUUCAUAGCGACGUUGCUUUUUGAUCCUUAGAUGUCGGCUCUUCCUAUCAUUGUGGAGAAAAACUCACCAAGUGUUGGAUGGUUCACCCACCAAUAAGGAAUGUAAGUUGGGUUUACACUGUCGUGAGACAGGUUAGUUUUACCCUAUUGAUGACAGUGUCGCGAUGGUAAUUCAACCUCAUACGAGAGGAACCGUUGAUUUGCAUAAUUAGUCAUCACAUUUUGUUGCGAAGCCAAUGACGCGAAACUAUCAUGCGAUAGAUUAUGACUGAAUGCCUCUAAGUCAGAAUUCGGGCUAGAAGCGACGCAUGCAGCCACCGCCUGAUUACAGACCCACAGUAGGGACCUCGGCCCCCAAGGGCAUGUGUCGUAGGCUAAGCCAGUGCAACAGAUGCGCUGCGAUGGCCGCCUUAAAGUACAAUUCCUACCGAGCGGU